AUUCCCCCGCCAGUGGGUGGGCCCUUCUGCUCUUUCCUGAGCCCUGCAAUAUAAGAGGACUUGAAUCCCGGUGUCCUACUUACUCCUCAGCAUUAGCACGCGUGACGCUUUUGAGAAGUCUCAAGGGUCAAAGGAAGGACCAAGAUGGAUAAGUAGCUUAAAAGAGGAUUAUCAGAUCACCGGGAGUGUUUGGUUUGGCUGCUUGUCUCUGAAGGAUGCAGAGUCCUGAGCACACAUUGCGGGCUGAGGGGAGACGCGAGGGAAGGAGAGGAGACAUGCGGAAGCACGCCCUCGAUGCCCAGUGGACCGUACUUGUGUUCACGCACAUCAGAGUCACGGAGAUACAGUGGUUUAUGAACCCUUAUUUCUGACAAGUACAGUGGAGGGGACGGGGGAGGCCGCUCCCCUGGGCAGACGGGAGAAAACGCCCCAGAAGCAGUGCGGCUCCUCCAGGCUGGCCAGGACCGCAGCACCUCGCUGAACCCUGCACGUUCUUCGGCCUCCAGGAGAGAACCCUGGAGUCUUUCUUCAGUUCCCUGCGUCCCAUGCCAGCACAGUUUGAAGUCAGAUUCUGGAAAUAGAGUCACUUGCACAAGAUUCAGGAGGCCAAAGACAAGAGAAGCCCUUCUUCUCUGAAUUGGCAGGGGUGGCGCGAGCUUCACCACAUCCUCCAGGCAAGCACUUUCAAGCUGCUCACUUCGGUGCCGCUAGAGGCUGAGAUGACCUGAGCCUCUUUUUUGUCUUUAUUUUUACAGUGAAACAUUUUAAUAUUUAGAAUUAGCCAGUUUAGAUGAUUCCAAUUUUGUUGGCAACAUCCAAAGCACCCUAGUUGGGAGCCAGUUGAACACAGGCCUCCUUCUCUCUGUCAGGCCCGAUCGGGAGGUUGACCUUGGCCAUGUCAAUGUCACAGAGCUUCUUCACAGCUUGUUUGAUCUGGCGCUCCUUGGCCUUGACAUCCACAAGGAACACUAGUGUGUUGUUGUCUUCUAUCUUCCUCAUGGCUGACUCAGCACUUGGGGGAACUCGAUGAUGGCGUAGUGGUCAAGCUUGUUUCCCCUGGGGCUCUCCCUAGGAUAUCGGGGCUGCCUUCGGAGCCAAGUGUCUUCACCGCACUGGAAGGUGGGAGACAGCCGAUCUUCUUUUUUCCUGGCUAUGGACCCCUUCCAGCACUGCUUUCUUUGCCUUCAAAGCCUUGGCUUUGGCUUUGGCUUUGGGAAGGGUUGGGACUUCUUUCUUCACUUUUGGCACCAUCUUCAUGAGAAGGCUGAUGUCAGCAUCUUCUCCAAGAUUCUGGCACUUCCUGACUCUGUGGGGUUUGAUGGUGGCUUCCCCGACCUGCUUUCAUCCAGCCCUCCCAUCAGUUAUACAAGCCUCUAAAUCCUCUGCAUUAAAAUCCUACAUAUUUAGGAUUCCCAGAGUGUCUCCUGUUUUUCUGACCAGACCCUAAUGGACACAGAUAAAGAAGCAAUGUAAAAUGAUGUGGGGGAAAAAACCCUUCUGAAAUGUAAAAGUUUUGUCCUGGAAA